UUUAUAAAAGACACCGUUAAUAAAGUUUAUGAAUUACUUGAGAUGACUUUAUCCCGCGGACGUCGUCUUUAAACGAUAUCGUAAAAUUACGAGCACUAGGAACGAUUUUGCGAUUUGUAAAGAAAAUGAAAAAGAAAAAGAAAAAGAAAAAAGAAAAGAAAGAGAUAGAAAGAGAGAGA